UGGUGUGGCUCAAUGGCAGAGCAGCUGAUUUGUAAUCAGCAGGUUGUUGGUUCGACUCCGACCACC
rnacentral:tRNA from 1 species